rnacentral:rRNA from 1 species
GCCGAAAGCCCAAGGUUUCCCACGCAACGCUAAUCGGCGUGGGGUGAGUCGGUCCCUAAGGUGAGGCAGAAAUGCGUAGCCGAUGGGAAACAGGUUAAUAUUCCUGUACCUUUUUUAACUGCGAUGGGGUGACGGAGAAGGUUAGGUCGGCCGGGUGUUGGACGUCCCGGUUUAAGCACGUAGAAAUCUUCCUUUGGAAAAUCCGGGGAAGUUUAUUUUGAGGUGUUAUGACGAGUACCAAUUUAUUGGAACGAAGCGAUUGAUACCAUGCUUCCAAGAAAACCCUCUAAGCUUCAGGUUAUAAAAGACCGUACCCUAAACCAACACAGGUGGGCAGGGAGAGUAUCCUAAGGCGUUUGAGAUAACUCUGGUGAAGGAACUAGGCAAAAUAGCACCGUAACUUCGGGAGAAGGUGUGCCCUUUGUAUGUGAAAAGCUUCGCGCUUGGAGCAGAAGAGGGUUGCAGUGACCAGGUGGCUGCGACUGUUUACUAAAAACACAGCACUCUGCAAACUCGAAAGAGGACGUAUAGGGUGUGACGCCUGCCCGGUGCCGGAAGGUUAAUUGAUGGGGUCAGUCUUCGGACGAAGCUCUUGAUCGAAGCCCCGGUAAACGGCGGCCGUAACUAUAACGGUCCUAAGGUAGCGAAAUUCCUUGUCGGGUAAGUUCCGACCUGCACGAAUGGCGUAACGAUGGCCACACUGUCUCCACCAGAGACUCAGCGAAAUUGAACUUGCUGUUAAGAUGCAGUGUACCCGCGGCUAGACGGAAAGACCCCGUGAACCUUUACUACAGCUUUACACUGGACUUUGAAUCUAUUUGUGUAGGAUAGGUGGGAGGCUUUGAAGUGAUAUCGCUAGAUAUCAUGGAGCCAUCCUUGAAAUACCACCCUGAUAUAUUUGAAGUUCUAACCUAGACCCGUUAACCGGGCCGGGGACAGUGUAUGGUGGGUAGUUUGACUGGGGCGGUCUCCUCCCAAAGAGUAACGGAGGAGCACAAAGGUACCCUCGGAGCGGUCGGAAAUCGCUCUUUGAGUGCAAAGGCAUAAGGGUGCUUGACUGCGAGAUAGACACAUCGAGCAGGGACGAAAGUCGGUCUUAGUGAUCCGGUGGUUCUGUAUGGAAGGGCCAUCGCUCAACGGAUAAAAGGUACUCCGGGGAUAACAGGCUGAUUCCUCCCAAGAGUUCACAUCGACGGGGGAGUUUGGCACCUCGAUGUCGGCUCAUCACAU